rnacentral:sRNA from 1 species
ACGUACAGGACGUACGUUCCGGUUCCUGCGCGCCGUCCGCCUGGCCUGACACCCGCUCGCUACGGCCGGUACGCUGUCAACG